rnacentral:rRNA from 1 species
UACGGAGGGUGCAAGCAUUAAUCGGAUUUAUUGGGCGUAAAGGGCGCGUAGGCGGGAAGGUAAGUCAGACGUAAAAUCCCGAGGCUCAACCUCGGACCUGCGUUUGAAACUGCCAUUCUUGAGGAUAGGUGGGGAAAGCGGAAUUCCACAAGUAGCGGUGAAAUGCGUAGAUAUGUGGAGGAACACCGGUGGCGAAAGCGGCUUUCUAUCUUAUUCCUGACGCUGAGGCGCGAAAGCAAGGGGAUCAAACAGG